rnacentral:rRNA from 1 species
UACAGAGGUCUCAAGCGUUGUUCGGAUUCAUUGGGCGUAAAGGGUGCGUAGGCGGCGCGGUAAGUCGGGUGUGAAAUCCCGGGGCUUAACUCCGAAACUGCAUUCGAUACUGCCGUGCUUGAGGACUGGAGAGGAGACUGGAAUUUACGGUGUAGCGGUGAAAUGCGUAGAUAUCGGAAGGAACAUCAGUGGCGAAAGCGACUUCCUGGACCAGUACCGACGUUCAGGCACGAAAGCGUGGGGAGCAAACAGG